rnacentral:lncRNA from 1 species
UCAAGUGCGCAUAGCCGAAAGGGACGAGGGCAAGACAACUUGUGUCACUCGUUAUGGGGCAUUUCAAUUCUUGGUGAUGCCCUUUGGCCUGACAAAUCCGCCAGCCACAUUUUGCACUCUCAUGAAUGAAAUUCUUCAUCCCUACUUGGACUGGUUCGUGGUGGUCUACUUGGACGACAUAGUCAUAUAUAGCAACACCAUGGAGGAGCAUGUAGAACACGUACGGGCCGUUCUCAAGACCUUGCGGGAAUAGUCAUAUAUAGCAACACCAUGAUGGAACAUGUAGAACACGUACUGGCCGUUCUCAAGACCUUGCGGGACAACGAGCUUUAUGUUAAGAAGGAGAAGUGCUCAUUUGCCAAGGAAGAGGUACACUUCCUAGGCCAUAUGAU